UACAGAGGUCUCAAGCGUUGUUCGGAUUCAUUGGGCGUAAAGGGUGUGUAGGUGGCGCCGUAAGUCGGGUGUGAAAUUUCGGAGCUUAACUCCGAAACUGCAUUCGAUACUGCGGUGCUUGAGGACUGGAGAGGAGACUGGAAUUCAUGGUGUAGCAGUGAAAUGCGUAGAGAUCAUGAGGAAGACCAGUGGCGAAAGGCGGGGUCUCUGGACAGUUCCUGACAUGAGACACGGAGGCCAGGGGAGCAAAACGGGG
rnacentral:rRNA from 1 species